rnacentral:rRNA from 1 species
CCUACGGGAGGCAGCAGUGAGGAAUAUUGGGCAAUGGGCGCGAGCCUGACCCAGCGACGCAGCGUGAAGGAUGACUGUCCUAGGGUCGGAAAACUCUGUCAGCAAGGGAGAACGGUCAGUCUGGUAAUCCGCAGUGAAUUUACGUUACGUGCAAGGACCGCCCCAGCUAACUCCGUCCCAGCCGCCACGGUAAUACGGAGGGUGCUAGCGUUAAUCGGAUUUACUGGGAGUAAAGGUCGCGUAGGUGGUAUGUCAAGUCAAUGGUGAAAGUCCCGCGCUCAACGGGGGAACUGCCUUUGAAACUGGCAAACUGGAGUGUGGGAGAGGAUAGCGGAAUUCGAGGUGUAGGAGUGAAAUGCUUAGAUAUCUGGAGGAACAUCAGUGGCGAAGGCGACUAUCUGGCAUAUAACUGACGCUGAGGAGCGAAAGCGUGGGUAGCAAACAGGAUUAGAUACCCGUGUAGUC